AUCCAUCAAAUAAUUAUUUAAAUUACACUACAAUAUAUAUUAUCAUAAUAAUCCAUCAAAUAUUGGUAGACUAAUGUUUGGAAGAAUGAGUUAAAAAUUAGAUAUACUAACCGAUUGCGAGUACUAAUAUUUGGAAGAAAUGAGCGAAAAUAGAAAUCUACACGCUUCAAUCCACCACCGGGUUAACCCGACCAAGGCAAGCGUUUUCGCGUUUUUCAGCUUUGGGAAGGUUUUUCGCGUUUUGGGGAGGGAGGAAAUGUGAUUAGGGUCUGCGAUUUUGGGGGAGAUCUGAGAUAUAUGGUUCAACCGAAAAACGCCGAUCAGGUUGGCGUUUUUAAGUUAAACACGCCAAUGAACUUGGCGUUUUAUUUAGUAAAGACGCCAUCCAGAUUGGCGUGUUCAAAUUUAAGUAUUUUGGUUAAAAAUACGAGCAGAAUACGGUGUCAUUGUAAAACGCCAACAUAGUUGGCGUUUUACAGUAUAGACACGCCAAUCUCAAUGGCGUUUUUACUUAUGAACACGCCAACUUCAUCGGCGUUUUUCCCAUAAAUGGAAUUGAUAACAAAAUGGGUACAUUUGCGUUAUUUUAAAGGCCAAGUGGCCUAUAUACGCGAUUUCCUCAUGGUUAAUGCACCGCUGUUUAAUGGCCUACUUCUUAUGCUUGUUAUGGUGUGAGAUCUAGAAGCAUGCUCCUAUUUAUAAAUGUUGCAUUUCUCGGCUUUUGAUGCUAACUCUAUGGUUCUCUAAGUAUGCUUCUAAAUUCUAAGUUCUUGACUGCCCAUGGUAUGUUCUAAUGAUGCAGAGGGUGUGUAGUUUUUACUGUUUCCUCCCAUUCACUUUAUCAAGAUUUGAAAUGAGCUCUAACAUGCUUGAUGCUACAUUAUGAUAGAACUUAUGUUUUAAGUUUGAAAGGAGGUGGAGGUUACCUUCUGUGCAUUGCUCUUGAUUCUCUGCUCCUAGACUCGAUCUCUCUCUCACUCUCCAACUCACUGUUUUGCUGAUUGGAAAAAUGUUGUGGUAAAGGGAGUGAGGCCGAGGAGUGCACCGCAUAUAUAGGGAUCUUGUAACUGAAAGCCUGCAAGGCAGAUUUUGGUGCAGAAAUGAAACCUCAAGUGCAAAAGGCGGGGCAGAGGCUGUUAGUUGAAAACUGCAGAGCUGAUGCAGUGAUCCCCUCUUUUCUUAGCUUGGAGCAGCCUUUGGUCAUGGUUGGGAGUGCAGUGGCUGUUGGAGCUGUAAUGCAGAGUUGCUGCAGCUUUCCUCUCCUUUCCUGGCUCGUGGCUGCCUAUGGUGAUGGCUGGUUGUGGCCGAUGGUAGCCCUCGGCAGUUAGGCUGCAUUCGUGGUCUAGGAAAGAGGUGGCUUGGUCUCGUGAAAGAAAUAGAUUCAAGGCGUUUAGCUCUUUUUUAUCCCUAUGUAUAUUUUUCUCUUUUUUUUUCCCUUUUUUUUUGUGUACACUAUAUCAUAGCUUGGAAUAUAUCAAUGUUGUAUUUUAUUUACUUAAAGGAAUAAACGAACACGUACUCAUAUUUUUUUA